UCCAAGUGAUGUUCUGGAGGCUUCU
rnacentral:misc_RNA from 1 species